rnacentral:rRNA from 1 species
UGCGGAGGGAUCAUUACCGAGUUUACAACUCCCAAACCCCUGUGAACAUACCACUUGUUGCCUCGGCGGAUCAGCCCGCUCCCGGUAAAACGGGACGGCCCGCCAGAGGACCCCUAAACUCUGUUUCUAUAUGUAACUUCUGAGUAAAACCAUAAAUAAAUCAAAACUUUCAACAACGGAUCUCUUGGUUCUGGCAUCGAUGAAGAACGCAGCAAAAUGCGAUAAGUAAUGUGAAUUGCAGAAUUCAGUGAAUCAUCGAAUCUUUGAACGCACAUUGCGCCCGCCAGUAUUCUGGCGGGCAUGCCUGUUCGAGCGUCAUUUCAACCCUCAAGCACAGCUUGGUGUUGGGACUCGCGUUAAUUCGCGUUCCUCAAAUUGAUUGGCGGUCACGUCGAGCUUCCAUAGCGUAGUAGUAAAACCCUCGUUACUGGUAAUCGUCGCGGCCACGCCGUUAAACCCCAACUUCUGAAUGUUGACCUCGGAUCAGGUAGGAAUACCCGCUGAACUUAAGCAUAUC